rnacentral:rRNA from 1 species
GACGAACGCUGGCGGCGUGCCUAAUACAUGCAAGUUGAGCGAUGAAGAUUGGUGCUUGCACCAAUUUGAAGAGCAGCGAACGGGUGAGUAACGCGUGGGGAAUCUGCCUUUGAGCGGGGGACAACAUUUGGAAACGAAUGCUAAUACCGCAUAACAACUUUAAACAUAAGUUUUAAGUUUGAAAGAUGCAAUUGCAUCACUCAAAGAUGAUCCCGCGUUGUAUUAGCUAGUUGGUGAGGUAAAGGCUCACCAAGGCGAUGAUACAUAGCCGACCUGAGAGGGUGAUCGGCCACAUUGGGACUGAGACACGGCCCAAACUCCUACGGGAGGCAGCAGUAGGGAAUCCUCGGCAAUGGACGAAAGUCUGACCGAGCAACGCCGCGUGAGUGAAGAAGGUUUUCGGAUCGUAAAACUCUGUUGGUAGAGAAGAACGUUGGUGAGAGUGGAAAGCUCAUCAAGUGACGGUAACUACCCAGAAAGGGACGGCUAACUACGU